rnacentral:rRNA from 1 species
AGCCUAACAGCUAGCUCACCUAUUAAGACUACCCAAACAAUAUUUCAUAACCGAAAAAGAAGUAAUUAAGCUUAAUAAAACAUUUAACCGCUUAAGUAUAGGCGAUAGAAAAAGAGAUUUGAAGCAACAGUAAAAGUACCGCAAGGGAAAGUUGAAAGAGAAAUGAAAGAAAUCAGUAAAGCCUUAAAAAGCAAAGAUUUAUUCUUGUACCUUUUGCAUCAUGAUUUAACAAGUCCUGCCCGGGCAAGAAGCCUCUCAGUCCGUGACCCCGAAACCAAGUGAGCUACUCCAGGACAGCCUAGUUAAAUAGGGCAAACCCGUCUCUGUGGCAAAAGCUGUGGGAAGAGCCUUGAGUAGAGGUGAUAAGCCUACCGAACUUGGUGAUAGCUGGUUGCCUGAGAAAUGAACAGAAGUUCAGCCCUUAAAGUUAUUGAAUCAAACCCCGACCUCUCGACAACAAGAAUCGCUUAAGGAGUUAGUCCAAAGGGGUACAGCCCUUUGGAAAAAGGAAACAACUUUGUAAGACGGAUAAAGAUCAUGCUUAACCCAAAGCACGGCACACUAGUGGGCUUAAAAGCAGCCACCUAAACAAAAAGCGUUAAAGCUUAAGUACCCCUCCCCAGCUAAUAAUUUAGAUAAUUUAUUCUUAAUCCCCUACAACUAUCAGGCCAUUUUAUGCCCCCAUAAAAAUGAUUAUGUUAAAAUGAGUAAUAAGAGGUAAGGACCUCUCCCCAGCAUAAGUGUCCCUCAGAACGGACCAACCACUGAGAAUUAACGGCCCCAAAAAGAGGGAAAUGUUCUAAAAAUAGAGAACCAGAAAACCUUUCACCCCCUACCGUUGACCUUACACAAGAAUGCCCCCAAGGAAAGACUAAAAGAGAGGGAAGGAACUCGGCAAAAUUACAAGCCUCGCCUGUUUACCAAAAACAUCGCCUCCCGGACUUACCGAGCAUGGGAGGUCCCGCCUGCCCUGUGAUAAUGAUUUAACGGCCGCGGUAUUUUGACCGUGCAAAGGUAGCGCAAUCACUUGUCUUUUAAAUGAAGACCUGUAUGAAUGGCAUAACGAGGGCUUGACUGUCUCCCCCCUCCAGUCAAUGAAAUUGAUUCCCCCGUGCAGAAGCGGGGAUAAACUCAUAAGACGAGAAGACCCUGUGGAGCUUUAGACAAUAAAUGGCACCUGUAAAGAAUCUGGCCUAAUAUUCCAUCAUAAAACAGAAGGUAUUUCCAUUUAAGUGUCUUUGGCUGGGGCGGCCGCGGAGAACCAAGAAACCCCCGCGUGAAAUAGAGAUACUUUCACUUAAACCUAGAGCAUCUCCUCUAAGCAGCAGAAUUUCUGAUCUUCUUUGACCCGGCUUAAACUGCCGAUCAACGGAACCAGUUACCCCAGGGAUAACAGCGCAAUCCUCUCCCAGAGCCCAUAUCGACAAGAGGGUUUACGACCUCGAUGUUGGAUCAGGACAUCCUAAUGGUGUAGCCGCUAUUAAGGGUUCGUUUGUUCAACGAUUAAAGUCCUACGUGAUCUGAGUUCAGACCGGAGUAAUCCAGGUCAGUUUCUAUCUAUGCAUAUGACUUCCUCCAGUACGAAAGGACCGAGAAAGUAAGGCCAAUGCUAACAGUACACCUUAAGACCACCUAAUGAAAACAACUAAAUUUAGGUAAGGGAACAUUUCCCCACCCCUCCGCAGACAAUGGCAU